rnacentral:rRNA from 1 species
UACGUAGGGCGCAAGCGUUAUCCGGAAUUAUUGGGCGUAAAGAGCUCGUAGGCGGUUUGUCGCGUCUGCCGUGAAAGUCCGGGGCUCAACUCCGGAUCUGCGGUGGGUACGGGCAGACUAGAGUGAUGUAGGGGAGACUGGAAUUCCUGGUGUAGCGGUGAAAUGCGCAGAUAUCUGGAGGAACACCGAUGGCGAAGGCAGGUCUCUGGGCAUUAACUGACGCUGAGGAGCGAAAGCGUGGGGAGCGAACAGG